rnacentral:rRNA from 1 species
GAUGAACGCUGGCGGCGUGCUUAACACAUGCAAGUCGAACGGAAAGGCUCCUGCUUGCAGGGGUACUCGAGUGGCGAACGGGUGAGUAACACGUGGGUGAUCUGCCCUGCACUUCGGGAUAAGCCUGGGAAACUGGGUCUAAUACCGGAUAGGACGAUGGUUUGGAUGCCAUUGUGGAAAGUUUUUCGGUGUGGGAUGAGCUCGCGGCCUAUCAGCUUGUUGGUGGGGUAAUGGCCUACCAAGGCGUCGACGGGUAGCCGGCCUGAGAGGGUGUACGGCCACAUUGGGACUGAGAUACGGCACAGACUCCUACGGGAGGCAGCAGUGGGGAAUAUUGCACAAUGGGCGCAAGCCUGAUGCAGCGACGCCGCGUGGGGGAUGCCGGCCUUCGGGUUGUAAACUCCUUUCGCUAGGGACGAAGCGCAAGUGACGGUACCUGGAGAAGAAGCACCGGCUAACUACG